rnacentral:lncRNA from 1 species
ACAACAGUUUUAACUAAGUUGAGCUAAUAAAGCUAAACUCUUAAAACUAAAUAAAAUAUAGAUUUUAGAAGCUGAAGUCUUCCUAUAAAAUAACAUUUUACUGUAUACCUGAAAACAAACAUGUUGUGCCAGUCAGUAUCUGCUGUGCUCAGUUCCUUGGGAGACAGAAAGAACAAUGGAUCUCUGUCCCCUGGGUCUUCUGGGACAGGGAAUGUCAUAAAGGUUAUGUUCAGUCACUAUGAAGGGUACAGCACAUGUUGUAAAUCAGGAUCCCUUUGGUGCUGACUUCUUCGGAGUCAUAUAGUCCUGGACUUUACCUACUGCCCUACUUAGUGAUUCUGGCAAAUGCAGCUGGUAUCAAGGACGGCACAAUGAUAUGCCAUGAUAUUACCAUCCUGCCAAUAGAGGAAGAUAGAUCAACAUGGACGAUCAACACCAUCUUGCUGAAAUGGAUGAGAGCAAGCACAGGCUUUUUGGCUAAUAGCAAAACAGGAAGAAGAGAUGGGCCAGACACAGAAAAAACACUGCUAUGUAAAGGAGGAGCCCUUAGAAGAACAGUCUCAUUGCUGGGCGGCUAUGCUGCAGUGCAAAAACUAAUAAAAUGCCCCAGUACUCAGUAG